UACGGUUACAUCACGCUGAAACACCGAUUCUUGUACGAUCACCGAAGUUAAGCAACGUCGAGCCUGGUCAAAACCUGGAUGGGCGAUUACUUGGGAAUACCACGGGCUGUAAG